rnacentral:lncRNA from 1 species
GGCUUGAUUUAGUGACUCAACUCAGCUCGACUUUUAUCUCAUCAAGAAUCAGCUCGAUUUGGUCUGGAGAGUUGGCUCAGCGUCUUGGCUUGGCAUUUAGCAAAACUAUGUUGUUUUAUUUUUUUUUCUUAUUUUCCUUUAUUUUUUCACGCCCUUUUCUCUUUUUCGCUACUAAGUGAUUUUCUCUCCUCAGAGAUUUUCGGCCACCACUGCCAGCCACCGUGACGCGACUGGCCGCCACGUACCACUACCAACCGAAGCCCGAUCAAGCCUAACAUUUCACCGUCACUUCCUCUAGGCCUCCUUGUCUUGGAUCUGGGCUCAGAUUUUCAAAAAUUGUCAUUUAAUGGCCUAGAUAUGUAGUUGAAGCCGUAACUUUUCCACCACAGUUUCAGCCUCUUUUCGCUGUUCGAUUAGGCUAAGGUUUCAGUAUAUUGUUUCCCUUGUCCUCCUCUCUCUUUUAACCGUUCGGAUCUCUAGCAAAUAACGUCUGCCACUGUUUGAUCGCCACAACGGCUAUUGCUUUCAUCAUCGGUUUUCCCUCUGUUUGCUGCCUGUGUCAGCUUUUUUCUUUUUUUUUUUUUUUGUGGUGUGGCUUAUGGGUGGCCAUUUGGUGAAGAUCUAAUGAUAGUGGUAGAACUUAGUCUCAGCAAUGGACGGUGAAAGAGGUGAGUGCUACUUUGGUGACUACUGAAUCUGGUGUUAAUUGCCAGGUCUGGCGGCAUUUCUGGUUUGGGAUGUUCAACCUAGAACUGUUAAUUGCUUUUCUAGAUUGUUGCUGACAAUCCCAUGUUCAGUGUCUUCUUUUUUGUUUGAUUGAGCUACUCUUUUAUCGAGUUACUGUUGAUGGUGGCAUUGGCACCAAUGGGGUGUUGUGUUGACAGUAGUAAUGUGACGGAGAAAUGCUUUUUCCUGCUAGAUUGAUUGUGAUUGUUGUUUUGCUUUGUGGCUUUUGGGUUAGGCUAGAUGGGUUGGUGCGGGUAGUGGUGAAGACUAUGAUAUUUCUUUGGUUGGUGAUAAGUGAAGAUGGU